UGAAGUCUGGUCUGCCCACUGAGGGGUUGAAGGGCCGCGGUAUUUUGACCGUGCAAAGGUAGCAUAAUCAUUAGUCUUUUAAUUGGGGGCUGGAAUGAAGGGCUGCACGAGGUAUAAACUGUCUUAUUUAAAUUGUUAUUAGAAUUUAAUUUUUAAGUUAAAAAGCUUAAAUUUUUUUAGAGGACGAGAAGACCCUAUAGAACUUUAUAUCAAUAUAAUACGAGUGCUUUUUAGUUGUGUUUAUGCUUAUAUAUAUUUGUAUUUUGUUGGGGUGACGGGAAAAUAAAAUUAACUUUUUUUAUUGAAUUGCAUUGAUUUAUGGUUAUUUGAUCCAUUUUUAGUGAUUAUAAGAUUAAGUUACCUUAGGGAUAACAGCGUAAUUUUCCCUUAGAGUUCUUAUCGACGGGAAAGCUUGCGACCUCGAUGUUGGAUUAAGAUUAAUUUUUGGUGUAGAAGCUGAAAUAUUAGGUC
rnacentral:rRNA from 1 species